GAUGAACGCUAGCGGCAGGCCUAACACAUGCAAGUCGAGGGAGAAGCCCUUUCGGGGGCAGAAACCGGCGCACGGGUGCGUAACGCGUAUGCAACCUACCUUUCACAGGGGGAUAGCCCGAAGAAAUUUGGAUUAAUACCCCAUAAUAUUAUUGGAUGCAUCAUUUGAUAAUUAAAACUGCGGUGGUGAAAGAUGGGCAUGCGUCCUAUUAGCUAGUUGGAGUGGUAACGGCACCCCAAGGCUACGAUAGGUAGGGGUCCUGAGAGGGAGAUCCCCCACACUGGUACUGAGACAGGGACCAGACUCCUACGGGAGGCAGCAGUGAGGAAUAUUGGUCAAUGGUCGGAAGACUGAACCAGCCAUGCCGCGUGCAGGAAGAAUGCCUUAUGGGUUGUAAACUGCUUUUAUAUGGGAAGAAUAAGGCGUACGUGUACGUUGAUGACGGUACCAUAUGAAUAAGCAUCGGCUAACUCCGUG
rnacentral:rRNA from 1 species